CUUGAUACUUAUAGCGUAGUAGAACCACUCCGAUCCAUACCGAACUCGGUUGUUAAAUGCUACAGCGACGAUGAUACUAAAGAGGAAGCUUUUUGGGAAAGUAGUUCAGCAUCAAG
rnacentral:rRNA from 1 species